UACAGAGGUCUCAAGCGUUGUUCGGAAUCACUGGGCGUAAAGCGCACGUAGGCGGAUGUGUCAGUCAGGGGUGAAAUCCCGGAGCUCAACUUCGGAACUGCCUUUGAUACAGCACGUCUUGAGUCCGGAAGAGGUGGGUGGAAUUCCUAGUGUAGAGGUGAAAUUCGUAGAUAUUAGGAAGAACACCGGUGGCGAAGGCGGCCCACUGGUCCGGUACUGACGCUGAGGUGCGAAAGCGUGGGGAGCAAACAGG
rnacentral:rRNA from 1 species